UUUAACUGUACUAUAUUUGAUGCGAAUAUGUCUUUUUUUCAUUGUAUACAUUAUUUUUGAUAAUUUCAGUUGUCACCUGUGAGUCACAUUGAAAAGAGACGGGUGAAACUUUUCUGCCCCAUAAUAUCACAUCCGUCAAAAGAUUUUUCAGCCACUCAGUUUCUUACCCUACCCACUUGAAAGCAGUGAAUUCAAAUUUAAUGGUAGAAUGUGCUAUACAAGUCUGUUUUGAAGACUUUCAUGAAAUAGCACCGCUACUAAAAAUAAACACAUAGCCACUGGUGGAGCUAACUUCAUUAUUUUAUUCAGUGAGCUGCCCUACCUUCUUCAGGUCGUCCGACUAGACAAGGAUUCGACGAUCAUCAGGCACAUACCACUCGUGGCUAGAGAUUGAACUUACUUUCUAUUGUUGGUGAGUCUUCAUGAUCCGAGUACAAAACAUUUAUACUUUCAUUGUUCCUAUGCUUUUAUUUCUUAUUAUGGGUGGGCUAGGAGCUUUUCUUAUGCCCCCACCUAUAAUUAGUAGAGGAAUGGUUAGAUGUUCAUUGAGUAUGUGGCUCCGUUUAUUCGGACGUAUUGUUUGAGUUUUCUUUCUAUUCGAGCUUACAGUUUGAGACUUA